rnacentral:lncRNA from 1 species
GGAUAUCUACACAGCUGACUGGUUAGAAAACGUGGCUAGAAGAAUCAAAGGUCAGUGAUUCUAUAUGUGCCUGCUACUUAGAUUUUGCACGAUCUCAUAAAAGCUUCAUGUACUUCAUUGAGAUGUCAAGAUAUCUUGCCAGCUGACUGGUUAGAAAACGUGGCUCCAUUUUGUACUGCGGUCACUUAGCCUGCAAUAACAUGGAAAAGUCUCACUCCUCUUCCAAGGAGUGGCGUCUGUCCUUCUGUUAUGUUGCUAUGGUGCUGGUAAUACCGAAAAAGGGUUUCUCCCUUCUUUAUAUUAUAAUAAAGCAACCAUCACUUUGGUGCUGGUAAUAUGUCCUAAAAUAAAUUAGCGGGGUUGUUCUAUUAGACACCUGUCCUUCUGCAGUUUGAAAUUUACUAGCUUCCUAUCUUUUGAUCUUGAAGUACGCUCUCCGAAUCAACGGGACUAAUACAGCUCACAAUAUUGAUUUCAUGUAAUUCUCACCUGGAAAUUACACAUGCUGGGAGCAUACACGUACACUAUCGUUCUUUGAUGCACUAACUUUAGUAAAUGAAGUCAUCGUGUUACAUUAGGAAUGUCUUUCACACUCAGCUAUUCAAGUUUUGUCCAAAAUUUAUUUCAAAUAGCUGUUCAAAUCUUUUGUGCAUCUGAAUUAAUAUGCCCAUUAUAUUCGAGGUUGUCCUAUAUUAUUAUUCAGUUUUUGUCUCACAUAUGUCAGUUUUUUGUACUAUCAAUUGUGUAGAAUGGCUGAUGACUAUUUGCAAGCCUCUUAUAUAUGGGCAAAUUAGGAAACUAAAUUUUAUUCAUCUAUUUUUUUGGGAGGGCUUCUGUGAUUUUUGAGGUGUCGACGGGUCUAACCCCGUCAUACUAUUUGUUUCUGUAAUGUUUGUGCAGGGAGAGACUGCUAUGUAUGCUAACUACAAAUCCAAUCCGAGGUAAAUAAAUCCUCUCUCGAAGCCGUUCGUUGCUUUAGUCUCGCUACAACAACUAUUAUACAUAUAUGUAUCUCUGCAAAUAGAUCAUAUUUUAUUUCCUUCCAUUGUUUGUAUUCAUGUGUGGUUUCAGACUUUGAUGUAUUAUUUCAGCUUAUACUACUUGGGCAGCUUAUGUUAUAUUUAAAGUGUGAACUUCUCAUACUUUUCCUGCUGUUGGGCAGUAACUGCAUUGUCAAUGAUCUUCCAGUCAUGGGAGUUUGCAAACCAGAACAUCGAUUACCUUUAGUUAGAGGAGGGGAUAGUGUAUUCUAACAAGAGAUGACUCAACCGAAAGAGUUCAGCAGGACAUUCAGAAAGAUUUGGUUAUAUCCGGAGCCAUCAUAGAAUCGUUGGUCUACAUGGAAGAGAGCAUAUCUAAGCUGGAGGCCAAAAGCGAAGUGCUUGAGUGUUGAGAAGCCACAAGGCUACUCCACCCACUCUCUCUUUAUCAAUAUCUAUACCAAUUAGCAGAUAGUGUACUCUCUUAAACCAGUGUUGACCCCGUUAUACCUUUUCAUUCAUCCUGUAUGCCUCCAAGUCAUGUAAUUGACCAAGUGACCCAUACUGUUUACUAUAUUAUUUUUACUUACCAAAACAGGAUAAACUA